UUUUUUUUUCCUUUAAAAUUCUGGCAAUAGACAAGGGACUUCACUUCCUCCAGGUAGCUGUUGCAUCAGAGUCCCCACCGGUAGGAUUAAACAAUAAAGUCUUUCGUUUGCAGUUUGCUGAAGUCUGUCUCCCUGGUGGUCUCUGAAGGUCUUCGAGACUUGGGCACAACAAUGAUAAACACAAAAAAAGACUCCAAGAUUUAUUCUGUGCUUAUUUUUGUGAUAUGGAAAAAGUUGUAAAAGCUCUUUUUGAUAAAUAGGAUGAGAAUGUUCAAAAAUGCACAGCUAUGUUCAAGAUCUAUUUAUGUCAAAUCUGGUCAGAAAUUCUGGAGGAAGUGACAGUGAUGGAAUUAAAUGUCAAUGUGAUGAAACAGACCUGCCAGGAGACUGAGUACAGUACACCUCUGAGUGUGUCUAUGAUGAUUUUUUUUUUCAGAGAAGAUUAACAAAAGUCAGAAGACAACUUCUGGGAGUCAGCUUUCCUUUCACAAUGUGGAUCUGGAAGACUGAAUUCAAGAUAUAUAUCAGCACACACCUUCACCCACUGAUCUCCUCCUGGCCCAAACUUUGUGUUUUCGUAUAAAAAUAAACUACACUGUUCAUUAACUCAA